UUGGGGAGUGGACGAGGAGGGCUUGCUCUUACGGGUGGCGAGUGGCGGACGGGUGAGGAAUGCAUCGGAAUCUACUCUGUCGUGGGGGAUAACGUAGGGAAACUUACGCUAAUACCGCAUACGACCUACGGGUGAAAGCAGGGGAUCUUCGGACCUUGCGCGAUUGAAUGAGCCGAUGCCCGAUUAGCUAGUUGGCGGGGUAAGAGCCCACCAAGGCGACGAUCGGUAGCUGGUCUGAGAGGAUGAUCAGCCACACUGGAACUGAGACACGGUCCAGACUCCUACGGGAGGCAGCAGUGGGGAAUAUUGGACAAUGGGCGCAAGCCUGAUCCAGCCAUACCGCGUGGGUGAAGAAGGCCUUCGGGUUGUAAAGCCCUUUUGUUGGGAAAGAAAAGCAGCCGGUUAAUACCCGGUUGUUCUGACGGUACCCAAAGAAUAAGCACCGGCUAACUUCGUGCCAGCAGCCGCGGUAAUACGAAGGGUGCAAGCGUUACUCGGAAUUACUGGGCGUAAAGCGUGCGUAGGUGGUUGUUUAAGUCUGUCGUGAAAGCCCUGGGCUCACCCUGGGAAUGGCGAUGGAAACUGGGCGACUAGAGUGUGGCAAAGGGAAGGGGAAUUCCUGGUGUACAAUGAAAUGCUAAAAAUCGGAAGGACAUCGUGGCAAAGGGACUGCCUGGGCCACCCUGACCCUGAGGCACAAAGGUGGGGAGAAAAAGGAAUAAAACCCUGGUGUUCACC
rnacentral:rRNA from 1 species